GGGCAGAGGCUGCAUCUCCAGGAGCAGGAAGACUGCAGUGGCUAUUUGCCAUCAUUGUGACAACAACAACUUGUUUCAAGAUGUUGCGUGACAACCUUGUGAUGACUACCUGGUGAUGACCGCCUUGUGAUGACUACCUGGUGAUGACCACCUUGUGAUGACCACCUUAAGAUCAGGUAUUUGAUUACAAUGAGGAAAGCUAUGGAUAUACCCACUGUCCUGGAAUAAUGGUGGGAGUUGGGUUGGUCUUCCUGCAAUCCUGUUAUAUGACUACAUUAGGAGUUGACAGUGUUUGGAGGAUGUUGUUUUCCUGGUCCAGCAUCUACUUCUUGAGCAAAGGAAGAACACAUCACCUACCUGGUCACUCCUCCUUCCCUUUUUCUUUCUUUCUUUCUUUUUUUUUUUUUUUUUUUUUUGAGUUUACAGUUGUGGUUACUGAAGUCAACAGAGAAAAGCAAUGAAUGAUGGAGACCAUGGUAUCGACUCUGGGAUAAACAAGAUUUUGAUUUUUAGGAAGACUAACUCUGGAGUGCCCAGCAUGAAGCCCUAACCUUAGCCAAGGACACAUUGGCAGUUGUUAGCUGGCUAGAGAGGGAGAGGAGCCAGGACUAGAUAAAUGGCAAGAACCUCGGAGCAACGUGAAGGACCAUGGCAUCCCAGACACUCCUAGAACUGAGAAGGGCCACCGUGCAUCAGUGCGCCACAGCUUCGAAAUGCAGGAAUUUCCUCCAUCUGCAAUCAGAAGCCCCUGCCCUCAUCAGCGCUGAUCUCCUGAGCAGAAGCAGUAAUCCUACUGAGUAGUUAGACUCUGAUUGUAGCCUCCUACCCGGGAGAGGGAAGAGGGAAGGCGCCUCUGUGCUUAAGAGCUUCUGGAAAGCAAGGAACGCAUUAGGAUUAAAGAAGGCAUCGGGUUUUAGCAUGAA